AUUUCAUCCAGUUAUUUCAUCAGU
rnacentral:siRNA from 1 species